UGGCUUUGAAUUUUCGUCCCAAAAUAAUGUACGUCGCGACACUCGCGGCCGUAAUCUACUACAAGGUGUUCUCUUGGAAGGCUCUCGGUCGUUGAAUUCAACGGCUGCUGCAGUGCUGCCACGACCCGGAGGCGGCGACGGCCGGGCUAGCCGCAGCCAUGGAGCUCCUGCGGGACAGCAUCCCCAUGGUGUCCCUGGCCGUGUCGGCCGCCGCGCUGUACGCGCGCGCCGUGUCCUCGCGCCUCCGCCCGGGCUUCCCCCGCCUCGCCGCGCUGCUCCCGGUGGUCGCGUUCCUCGCCGCGGCGCCCUUGGCCUUCUCCUCCUCCGCCACCACCCGGGGCAUGGCCGCCUUCUUCCUCGCGUGGCUCGGCGUGUUCAAGGUCGCGCUCCUCGCGGCCGGCCUAGGGCCGCUCGACCCCGCCCUCCCCGUGCUCCCGUUCCUCUUCACCGCGGCGCUCCCCGUCAAGCUGAUGACCAAUCGCGGCGGCAGCGGCAGCGGAACCCGCCCCGCCGGCGAAGCAGCAGCGGCGUCCAAGCGGCCCGCACCCGCGUUCCUCGUUUCGUGCGCCGCAAAGGUCGCCGUCGUGGCGGCGCUCCUCCGCGCCUACCGGUUCAAGGACCGGCUGCCCCUCUACGCGCGCCUCGCGAUGUACGGCGUCCACAUGUACUGCUUCUUCGACCUCCUCCUCCCCUGCAUCGCGGCCGCCGCCGGCGCGCUCGGCAUGGAGGCGGAGCCCCAGUUCGACCUGCCGUACCUGGCGUCGUCGCUGCGCGACUUCUGGGGCCGGCGGUGGAACCUCGUGGUGCCCGCGGUGCUGCGCCCGUCGGUCUACGGCCCCGUGCGCGCGCGCGCGGGCAGGGCGGCCGGCGUCCUGGCCACGUUCCUCGUGUCCGGGCUGAUGCACGAGGUCAUGGUGUGCUACCUCACCCUGCGCCCGCCCACCGGGGAGAUGGCGGCGUUCUUCCUGAUCCACGGCGCCUGCUGCGUGGCCGAGGGGUGGUGCGCGGCGAGGGGGUGGCCGCCGACGCCGCCGCGGCCGGUGGCGACUCUGCUCGUGGUGGCGUUCGUUGCGGGCACGGCGUUCUGGCUGUUCUUCCCGCCUAUCAACAGGGACGGAGGGGACGAGGUGCUGCUGGAGGAGUGGACAGCGGUGGCGGCCUUCGUCGGGGACGCCGGCCGGAAGCUGUUCCAGUAACGGGGUCAGUUCUCCGACGCUGAGUGGAGAAGAAAUUAGAGAAAAUCCACCUGAAGAAAGGAAAAAUACGAUUCAAUGGUGAUGAAUGGCGAUGAAAAUUAGGAUGUUACGUGAAGGGAGAUCCGAGUGGAGCAAGCGGGGAGCGAAUCAGCCCCCCAGGUGAGUGAAUCCCUCCUGCUUGCAGCGCGCUCAAAGCCAUGCGCGCGUCCAGUUUUCAUCGGUUUUCAUUUCGUUUUUGGUGGAGGUUAUCGGCGUGCGCUUCUGGAAUCUAGCGAGGCAUCCGCGGGUUGUGGGGGAGGGGGACUGGAAGCUGCAAUUAGACCAGUUUUGCUGUCCUCUCGAGGAUUUGAAUCUGAGGCCACAUUGGAAAGGGGAAACACACCAUCGCGCCCCCCGUAAUUGUUUAAAGUUGAGUUUCUGCUAGGAAACUAUCAUACAUAGUGUUUUUACACACUCCGUAAUUAUUUUCAGGAUCCGCAAUAAGCUAGUGUAGUUGAUUAAGUGCAGUCAUCAUUUUUCCAUGGGGAUCUUGCUGGUUUUUGUUUCCUAGAAUUCAUUUGGUAGGUUGCCUAUGCCAAAUCCACCGGAGUGGUUUGUGGUGUGAGGUGUGAGAUGUUUUGGCAAGGGGAAUAUUUUCUGAUAGGUGGAGGGAUAACAUGAGAUCAUCACCUCUUCUUUGAUUGGGUCGGCACAACAGUGGCAUCAGUUGUUUUGCCGCCGCAACAGUAGCGACAUCUGUCAUCAGUUUGGGCAGGUAAGCAGCUCAUCAAUCCAGCAAGGUUUCAAAUGUCAGGUCACCAAAGUAUUGAACAUGAAUGCAAAUCGGAGGGCAUUUCGAGUAAUUAGAAGCAAAUAUAUUUAGCAGUUGGGAGCACAUAUCGAGUGCAUUUUGCAAUUUGAUUCACAUAGUGCAGCAAUGAAAAUUGUAGGCAAAUCAAUAGGUAACUUCGUAUGUCUGGAAAUUGUGUUCUAAGAUGCAUGAUGCUGCAUGACAUUUAUACGUUCUUUUAUUUCCAUGAGGGGCUGCUGCUGUGUCUUAUGAAGUGCCUGACAAUUUGUCUGUUGCCUGGUAUUUCUUUGUUCUA